AUUGAACGCUGGCGGCAUGCUUUACACAUGCAAGUCGAGCGGUAACAGGCCUUCGGGUGCUGACGAGUGGCGAACGGGUGAGUAAUGCAUCGGAACGUACCCAGAGGUGGGGGAUAACGCAGCGAAAGCUGUGCUAAUACCGCAUGUGAUCUGAGGAUGAAAGCGGGGGACCGAGCAGCAAUGUUUGGCCUCGCGCCUUUGGAGCGGCCGAUGUCGGAUUAGCUAGUUGGUGGGGUAAAGGCCUACCAAGGCGACGAUCCGUAGCUGGUCUGAGAGGACGACCAGCCACACUGGGACUGAGACACGGCCCAGACUCCUACGGGAGGCAGCAGUGGGGAAUUUUGGACAAUGGGCGCAAGCCUGAUCCAGCAAUGCCGCGUGCGGGAAGAAGGCCUUCGGGUUGUAAAGCGCUUUUGGCAGGAACGAAACGGUGUCCGCUAAUACCGGGCGCUAAUGACGGUACCUGCAGAAUAAGCACCGGCUAACUACGUG
rnacentral:rRNA from 1 species